rnacentral:sRNA from 1 species
GACGGAAUCCUCGCCGACGCGCGGGGAGGAGUCAAACCCCCGAUGGUCGUUGAUGACGAACUGACGGGUAGUGAUUGUUGGAGCACUCAGGCUUAAUUUCCGAAUCAUGGCUGAACGAGGCGGAAACCCACCCCUUCAGGGGUGGGAGGAAGCCGACACGAGAGAGAAC